AGGGAAUAUUGGACAAUGGGCGAAAGCCUGAUCCAGCCAUGCCGCGUGAGUGAUGAAGGCCUUAGGGUUGUAAAGCUCUUUCAGCGGGGAAGAUAAUGACGGUACCCGCAGAAGAAGCCCCGGCUAACUUCGUGCCAGCAGCCGCGGUAAUACGAAGGGGGCUAGCGUUGCUCGGAAUCACUGGGCGUAAAGCGCACGUAGGCGGCUUUCUAAGUCAGGGGUGAAAUCCUGGAGCUCAACUCCAGAACUGCCUUUGAUACUGGAAAGCUUGAGUUCGGGAGAGGUGAGUGGAACUGCGAGUGUAGAGGUGAAAUUCGUAGAUAUUCGCAAGAACACCAGUGGCGAAGGCGGCUCACUGGCCCGAUACUGACGCUGAGGUGCGAAAGCGUGGGGAGCAAAC
rnacentral:rRNA from 1 species